rnacentral:rRNA from 1 species
GAUGAACGCUGGCGGCGUGCCUAAUACAUGCAAGUCGAGCGGACAGACGAGGAGCUUGCUCCUCUGACGUUAGCGGCGGACGGGUGAGUAACACGUAGAUAACCUACCUAUAAGACUGGGAUAACUUCGGGAAACCGGAGCUAAUACCGGAUAAUAUAUUGAACCGCAUGGUUCAAUAGUGAAAGACGGUUUUGCUGUCACUUAUAGAUGGAUCCGCGCCGCAUUAGCUAGUUGGUAAGGUAACGGCUUACCAAGGCAACGAUGCGUAGCCGACCUGAGAGGGUGAUCGGCCACACUGGAACUGAGACACGGUCCAGACUCCUACGGGAGGCAGCAGUAGGGAAUCUUCCGCAAUGGGCGAAAGCCUGACGGAGCAACGCCGCGUGAGUGAUGAAGGUCUUCGGAUCGUAAAACUCUGUUAUUAGGGAAGAACAAAUGUGUAAGUAACUAUGCACGUCUUGACGGUACCUAAUCAGAAAGCCACGGCUAACUACGUG